rnacentral:sRNA from 1 species
ACUCCCUGUGAUGGCCCUGAAACUUCCAGAAUGUAGAGAUGCAGAGCUGUAGGCUGUUGUCAAAGCUGUGAAUUUCAGUUUCCCCAUCAUCCGAGGCUUUGAUGGGCUGAGGAACCGGAGCCUCACAUUUGACAAAGCGUUUUAAAGCACCAUUUAUAUAUUGCGCUCUCUGCCCUUGGGGAACCCUGGCUCUGGAAGUCAAGAAGAGAGAAUGUGGAGGCGAAUUGUACAAAACGUUUGAGAGGAAAGCCACCUUCAGGAAAGUCAUAGCAGCAAGAACAGGAAGCAACUGGUCAUAUUGUGUCCAGUCUGGAAGCAGAGAGAGGGUCGAGAUCCGGGGGACAGUCUUCAGCCACUGAGCAGAUGAAGCUGGCACCUCUCCAGAGCAUUGCCCGUGGUCUCUGCAGAUAUACUAUGCAGUGGGCAUCAUGGGCUUCUAGGGCUGCAUCUGGUAAUCUUGAGCAAGUAAUAUAACUGAGUGCUGGUUAUCUGGGGCAGCCUUGGGUGUGGUGGGGAUCCUGACUAAGCUAUUUUUACAUGUCUAAAAGGCUCAUUACCUGGCCCUCUAACCCUAGAGUCCCAGAGUAAAGUUUCAGCUUUACAAUUUGAGUGGGUGGUCUGAUCUCACUGGAACUCCAGAAACUGUUAGUUCUGCCAGGUGAGAACAAGACCACUACUGCAAUUUCUAAGCCAAAUCUGAAACAAGGCUUAUUAAAUAUCAGCCAGGACGAUGGCCACUGGUCAGGUCUAGACCGAGGAUACCCAGAGUAUGUCCUGAACUACUUUAGUCAUAGGCUAAAGGCAAAACAAGACUAUUGACUUCCUGUCUCUGUCCAAUCAGGGUCAGCCAUGCAUCCUAACAUACUUCCUGCCUAUGGGUAAUCAAACGCAUCACGGGCAGUUGGGGCAGGCGAGCUUGUUUGUACUAGUGAAACAUAUGGCUUCACACCAACAGUAACCCCCAGCAUUGCCACAGUUCUCUGUCCUUGGGCAAGUGGGGCUUUCAGGUUGGAGGCAUUUGUGUUUUAUUGAUCUCUUAAGUACAAUAAUUCAAACCUAGAAAUAACUUUAGCCACCACAGGUUAUCUUCUGUCUUCCCAUGGGGCAAGGUGUCAGUCCCAUGCUUGCCUCAUCUUGGAUUUUUCCCUUUAAUUCCACUUGCAGCACCUGUAGCAAAGUAUGUUCUGCUUUGUUUUCAAAUUCCUUGUUAAUAUAAACAUUUGUUUAAAUAGCCCUGUCUCUUGGGUGGAUGGAUUCUCUAGGGUAGGAGAUCUCUAAAGCCCUUGCCCAGAGCCCACAUUCAAGGAUCCUUUGUUAGGAUUCUAGGACAACUCUGAAGAUACCUCAGAGUAAACAGGGAGAUUACCCAGUACAGAGAAGGUGGGAAGGUGUUCAUCUUUUAUCUUGCAAGUGAAGACAGAAGUAACUCCCAGGAUGAAUAGGUAAGAGACUUCCCAUAAAGUUACUUUUUUUUUUUUCCAAACUAAGGACAUAACCAUGACUUCACUGCUGAAUUGCCACCGUUGUAGACAGGUGGACCAGUUUGGAGCAUAAGGAAGAAAUGUUGGAGAAAGUGAACUUCAGUAAAAGAAGCUAGAGUCAGUCACCUCAGUCAGUGGCAGACCGGUGAGCCUCCUUUUGUGAAUUUACAGAGAUGGUGUUUGUUCUUAUUACAAAAAGACAGCCUAAGAUCAUCUUCUGAGAAUCAAAAGAUUUUAUUGCUUUCUAGUGAUGAAGACUUUGGUAUGCAGCCCCGGAUUUGGCCACAGCUCUGAUUUUUCCCUACAGCAAGUCAAGGACCUUUCAUUUAAGAGAGGAAGAGGGAUGUACACAAGUCUCUUUGACAAAUGGGAGUGCAGAAUAUUAAAUAGUUGUUGGAUGUGAAGACAAAGAAGAAGAGAGCUGAUUGGCCCACAGCUGUGGUAAAUGUAGCCAGAAUGGAUUUUGAACAUAUCUGAACAGCAGGGACCAGUCAGCCAGAAGAGGAUCCCUUCUGGUGGGUGUCAAAACCCACAAGACCUUUGUCUUUCAGGAAGGUGAGGAAGAAGCCAGAGGUUUGUCUCCUUUGUUAUCUGUGGUUCUUUUUCCUGUCAUCUGCUGGCCAGGGGUCUCCUCAGUAGUUAGUGUCUAAGGACUUCUGAAAUCCAAAUGACAGAGAAGCAGGCAGAAGUUGUAAGCCAGAGCUCUGCUCAGCAGAUGUAGCAUGACAUCUCUAGGUCAGGUUGGAGAGGAGAUCCUCAGCCUGACUAGCACAAGAAGAAAAGAUUUCACACUGACUGAGCCUCUUUCUUUUUUAAUAUUUAGAAACAAAAUGAUCACCUUUGCUGCCAGGCAGUGCAAAGACUAGUCCAGCCCACCUUUCUUGAAAACCCAUGAUCUGCUUUUCAGGGGGAGAUGAAAGUGCAGGCAUAGACAAUGGAUCUGAAAGCUGCUGGCUUUUGAAUAUUCAUGACUAUUCUAAUGCAAAUGAAUGUUUCCAAUUGAGCUGAGUUUGGCCAGGUGCUGUUGGAAGUGCUUUAAGUUUAUAAUGUUGCUUCUCUGUUCUUUAGAUCUCCUAGAACAACUUCUCUGAGAAGGUUUCCCAGGUGUCCCACCUUGGACUGUAGUUCCUGCCCCUAAAGUUCAAGGGCUCUGGAUCCCCCCAAUCCACAGGACAGCCUGCCCUUGUUUAAUUGGGGCCCAGGUCUGAGAGGCCCUCCUUUGGCCCAGAGCCAGAGAGCCUUAUCACUCACCAGAUUGUGCUUCAACCAAAGCUCACUGCUCCCAGAAUAACAGAGGGGAUGGUGGGGGGUCUGCCAAGGUUAGGAGCACUUGUUUCAGCCCUCUUUGACUCUUGCAACUGUAAAUGGCCUUGGCCUGUAGCCUGAUGCUUUGCUAGGUCCACAGACUAUGCAAGACACACAACCCUGUGAGCUGAUGGUGGUUGCCUUUGGAGGAACACAGUGAGUCUUCAGUCUCUGUGGGUGCUAAGGGAGGAUUUCCCUGUUCAACAGGAUUUGUUGUGAGGGUUUCUGAUCAAAUUCUAGGAGGGGGGAGGGGGAAGGGAAGGGAGACAAGGAAAGUCACUGUUCAGCCAAGGACCUGUUUGGAGGAGUACAGACGCUGGUCCUGACCCAGGUCAGUGAAGGAAGUUUCCACAACUUCCACCAUCUCCCAGGAGCUGGGUGGUCCUCAGGAUCCAUUGGAGUGAAAGAUGCCACUUCUAGGUUUAAAUUGGUCCAGGAUCCUUAUACCACCUAAGGACUCUUGCUGAAGUAUCUCAGGCAUGGCCUAUGAUUCCAUUCCUUGAUUAGUUCUUGAAAUCUAUUCUUACCUCCUAGGCUUUCCAGCAGAACUUUUCACCCUCAAAUACUCUAUGGAAAAGACACUCCUCUCUAUGCCCGAUACAUACUUAUUCAAUGAGAAUCUACCUAUGUUUUAAACAGGUGACUCUAAGAGGACUUCAUAGUUGUGGCCGAGGCCUGAUGUCAGUCAGACAGGCUUUGAUGAGGAUGGUACCCUGGUUCUGGCAGCUACUCAAGGACUUGGGAGAAACCUGUUUGUACCCCAAGCUUCUGGUCAAAUUGAGUGGCCCUCACCUUGAAAUAGACCCUGAAUAUGGCAUAGAUGCCAGGAACCCAGCUCUGUAAACGUUUAUAUGCAGACAAAGUCUCUCCAUGUGCUUUUAAACCAAGGAAGUUUCUACUCAGAAACUUAGAAGGCUGUCAUGAGAGAUUGCCAAGCAAGGACAAUACACAAAGGGAAGCAAGCAGAUUUUACUGAGAAGAAACAUCUCCCUGUAGCCAGAGGGGAGACGUGAAGGUGAGUUACCUAUUCAAGUUACCUAUUUAGCACGCUGAAACGGUUUUUACAUCUUGGGAAUGUGCCAUUGUGGUCCCAUAUGUAAAUUAGGCAUCAAACUCAGAUGAGUCUGAUUGGCUUAUUUGAAUGCACGUGGCAAAGUCUGCUUUGCUGACAAGUCCUGUGAAAGUACAGAGCCUUGGAAAUCGAAAGCUGGAGGUCAGCUGACAUCUUGGAGGGUCAGGGUGUUUGGAUUUUAAUUCUUUGGCUCACCAACUGUGCUGGACAUUUUUAUGUCAACAGCAUAAGUUCCAGCGUUUUUAGAAGAAGAAACCUCAAUUGAGAAAAUGCCCCCAUCAUAUAUGUAGUCAAGCUUAUGCUACAUUUUCUUGAUUGAUGAUUGAUGUGGGAGGGUCCAAUUCUCCUGUUCAGUAUCACCCCUGGGCUGGUAGUCCUGGGUGCUAUAAGAAAGCAGGAAGAGUAACCCAUAAAGAACAGCUGGUAAGGAGCGCUCCUCCAUGGCGUCCGCUUCAGUUCCUGCCUGAGUUCCUGCCCUGACUCUCUGGAUGAUGGACUACAAGCUGUAGCUGAAAUAAAAC